AGCAAGACUGCAGGGUCCACGUAAACACAAACACGGCCACGUCUGUCAGUGUGUGUGUCGCCGAGUGUCACCUCAUUCACACAAAUCCACUGAUAAUUUGCCCCCUCCAGCAUUCCUUUCCUUAUCUCCCCUUGUCCUGCUUUCUAUUCCUCCUGUGGCUCACCUGUGUUCACGUUUAAGCCUCUUUGAAAAGGAGCCAAGAUGCGUCAGCUGAAGGGAAAGGUGAAAGAGACUGCCAAGGAGAGAAAAGAGAGGAAGAAAGACUUUUUGGCCAACAAGGAGAAGGCAUUCACUGUUGCUCUGCCUGUCCUGGGGGGAAUCUUUAUCCUGAUUGCCCUCCUGGUGUACUUCAAGACUAGACCAAAGGACCUGGAUCUGGAUUUGUAAAUACACUCCUGCUGCAUCUGAUACCGAUUUAUGUGUCACGGUCUUCUGAUAUCAAAGUUAAUGAUUCUUUGCUUUGAUUUCUAUUUGACACAAUGAUAUAAAUGCUAUCUUGUGAAAGAGUCAGUCUGUAUCACAUUUAUAUAAAUUGUUUACUCUGAUUCAACUUUGAUAAGGAAUAGAAAUGCCUUCAAUACCUAUUUGGUGCCUUUGCUCAAAUUCCUGACAAAAUAUCAUGUAAGGAAGGUAUCUUUUCUAAAUUUUGUUAUGGUGACAAGCUAUUUAUUAAGGCAAGAGUCUCAUCUAAUGUUAUUACUAUCCAGAAUGUUUGCUUGAUUAAAAGGUGCAUAUUGUAAAGCAUGUGAGGAAGAAAGUAUACUGUAUGGUGCUGGAGUUGCUAGCUGAGUACUGUGCCUUAGUUGAUCAUGAUUAUAUUGAUUACAUAAACUAUUCUAUUGGAUGUGAAUGAAAUGACUGUUGUGCAGCCUUUCUGUUAUCAUUCUUUUUAUCUGUCAGCCUCUUGGCACAAAUUCACUUGAAUGAAGUAAAAACAUGACUGUCAUCUUUUUCCAUUGAUGUAAAAUAUUUAAUGAAAGCAACUACUUACUACUUCCCAGUUUGUAUGGAAAAAGAAAGUAGCAUAUUUCAUGUAUAUUAGAAAUAGAGCAUGUUUUCUGUAUCUUACAUAAGGUAAAUAAUUAUUGUAGGACAGGAACUUCACUACUGGCAGAACUAGAGCACAGGUGUUUGGAUGUUUGAAGUAAUAGAAAAGCUGCUAAAAUGUCCUGCUUCAUUUAUGGGAAGUGUUGUUGUGAUUAAGAUCCCCAUAGAUGAAGGGGAUUUCUGAUUGUUUUCAUGUUUUGGAGGUUUAUUUGCUUGUAGACAUAAUUAUGAACACUAAUCCUGAAGAUGUUACCUGGAUUGACUGUAGAAACGUAUCGGCAAAAUCUGCAUGAACUACCUUGGUCCCGUCCAGCAAGUUUACCUACUUUUAUUGUUGCUGUUCUAAAUUAUAUUAAUAUAUACUUACAUACCAGGACUGCAAUCCUACAUCAGGGUGGCCACUUGUGUAUUAAAACAAUGUUACUAGAGUCAUACAAAUAUAUAUCCAGAUUAUUUCAAGUGACAGAGUAUCUAGAACAUGGCCAAGCUAGAUGUGACAAUGUGCUUCUUUAGGUGCUUCUCUUAACACUGUAAUGUUUAUGCUUAAGUUGUUACCAGUAUUAUUGUUAUUGUUACCCUGGAGGUAUUGUGGGUGUGAAGUGUUAGCAUUAGCACUAUAGGAACACCAGAUUAUCUUUGCCCCCACAAUGUGUGUGUGUGUAUGUGUGUGUGUGAGUGUAGCAAGACAGUGUUAUCAGAUAGAGUGGAGGUCUGUUUGAGUGAUGCCUUCUACUGCCAACCAGCCAUCAUUCCUUCACGCUUGGAGAAAUAUAUAUUAGUGGCAAAGUUGAUUUGGUUUUUUGUCAGUUGGGUGAUGGUAUAAGCUUAGUUACAUGAGGCUUGUGUGUCACAGUGUCAAUGGGUGCUGUUCUCAAUACUUGGGUUGUGAAAAGUUGCAAAAAUUUCAGCUUUCACCAACUGUCUAUGCACUGAUAUCCAUUGGUUGAUUUUUUAGUCAGUAUUUAAUUUAACUGCUUGAACUUAGUUCUUUUAAAUGAUUUCAGAAGUUGCAACAUUAUGAAUCAGCUGAUUUUGUCUCGGUACAUACUGUUAAUAUUCAUGUAGUUAUUUCGGGUAAAAUUGAAAAGGAAAUUAAAUAUUUCAAAAUACACACAAAGACUAAUAAUGCAUGGAAAAUAUUUUUGUAUGGUUUAGACGGUGAAUAGCAAAGCUGUAUAUUCAGGGAACCUCAAUAAUCUUGUCAUUUUCUAUAAAUAUAUUUUCUCAAAGUAUU